AGAGCCUACGGGACGCAGCAGUGAGGAAUAUUGGUCAAUGGUCGGGAGACUGAACCAGCCAAGCCGCGUGAGGGAGGAAGGUACAGAGUAUCGUAAACCUCUUUUGUCAGGGAACAAAGGCGGGGACGUGUCCCCGGAUGAGUGUACCUGAAGAAAAGCAUCGGCUAACCCCGUGCCAGCAGCCGCGGUAAUACGGAGGAUGCGAGCGUUAUCCGGAUUUAUUGGGUUUAAAGGGUGCGCAGGCGGUCUGUUAAGUCAGCGGUCAAAGCCCGAGGCUCAACCCCGGCCCGCCGUUGAAACUGGCG
rnacentral:rRNA from 1 species